rnacentral:pre_miRNA from 1 species
CAUGCACCAGUGGGGUUCCUCAGCCUGGCCUGUGCCCUCUCGCAAUCUGGGACCCCUUGGGGUAUGUUGGAGAGCCGGUUUCGGCCCAAUUCUGCAGGCCAGGCUGAGGGACCCCACUGGUGCAUG